CCUGGUGGACCAGUUCUUGGACUCCUACUACAAGAGGCAGUGCUACACGCAAGGGGAACACUUAAUGUUUGUUGCUACAUGAUUCUAUUACUAAGAUGUGCAGUAAGAAGUGAAAGUGAAGCCUAGUUCCCUUGGCUGACAACCCAGGGCACAACUCCUGCUUCCGUGAGUGCCUAAUACAAGAGUUGAAGCUCCCGGAGCCUUCUUUGAAAAAUGCCAUGCCUAAUGUUCUACUACAGAUGUUUGCCUUGAGUCAAAUAUGGAACUUAUGUAAAAUUAUACGUGGGUUGGUGGUGAGUAUUGCUUUUAUGAGAUAAGGAAUCAUUUCACAUUAUUCUCAUUUUACUUUAAUGCUUGGGGUCAUUUACACUGAGCAAUAGCACUUGACUCUGAAGAAACAGUGGUAGAAAUGCAA
rnacentral:lncRNA from 1 species